GGCCCAGUGCAGUAGAUAGUUCAGGUGUUGUGCGAGGGUUGCUUACAGUCUCGGCGUGUACGGGCGUGUGGGCUAACCGGGGGAAUUGUGCUCUAGUGUGUGGUUUGUGAUUUUGAAGUAGCGCUCGUCUCCACCACCAACCAUCAGUGAUGUCAGGGUCCUCGAUGAUGGAUAACUUCCGUGCUCUGCUCCAGCUAGCACAUGCCGUCCAUUCACCCUCGGCGCCGACCAGAGCGCUGCGGUCGCUGGAGCUCAAUAGCACAGACCCGGGUGGUUUUUACGGCGGCGGCUCCGGCGGGGACCAGGCAUACCGCUUUCCUUUGGGCCUCAGCGUGAGUCCUUAUGGGCAGCCAGCACCACGUCAGGAUGGCUACGAUGCUUCAGCAGCCUCCUGCAAGUUGUAUGGCACGCCCCAGGACCACAUGACGCCAAAUCCUUUCAAGGUGGAUUGCGCCAAGGACCAGAAUGGCUAUGGUAUCAGCAAAGACAUGACGGGAGGCUGGGGCCCCACGGUGCGCCCCGCCUGCACACCCGACCCUGUGGUUGCUCGGGGGUACCCACCUGACCCCAGCACCUCACCGCGGGACCGAUCCUCACACGUGGGCACCUGGAACACCUGCGGGAUGACUCCCGUGACCCAGCCCCACCAGCCUCCUCAGCAGCCGCCUCAGCAGCAGACCAACAACCAGAUGAACCAGCCGCCCUCCAACACAACCUUCUACCCCUGGAUGGCUAUAGCAGCUCGGAACUCGUGCCCGUGGACAUCCGGGGCCAAUGGUCUGCGGCGCCGCGGCAGACAGACCUACACACGAUACCAGACGCUGGAGCUGGAGAAGGAGUUCCACACAAACCACUACCUAACACGGCGAAGAAGAAUAGAAAUGGCGCACGCUCUGUGUCUCACCGAGCGACAGAUCAAGAUCUGGUUCCAGAACCGGAGGAUGAAGCUGAAGAAGGAGAUCCAGGCGAUUAAGGAGCUCAAUGAGCAAGAGAAGCAGGCACAAAAUGCGAAGUUGGCGGCGCAGCAAAAUGCGUCCAACAACCCCCAGGGCUUGACCCCCAACCAGGGGGCGGGAGGGGGGCCCGGGGCGGACCAGAACCCUGCGAACCCCGCGCAAAACUAACGACACAACUUUCAUCUAUAAGCUAGGAUUAAGGAUUAGAUCUACAUAAAGGUUGGUUGCGAGCUGGCCGGCGGUCUGCCUGACGCCGCCCCCCAACACAGCACCGUGGCUGCCAACUCGGCCCCCCUGGCGGCCUACCCGCCCGCCCCAGAU
rnacentral:misc_RNA from 1 species